UACGGAGGGUGCGAGCGUUGUCCGGAAUCAUUGGGCGUAAAGGGCGCGUAGGUGGCCCGGUCAGUUCGUGGUGAAAGCGCGGGGCUCAACCCCGGGUCGGCCGUGGCAACUGUCGAGCUGGAGCACUGUAGAGGCAGGUGGAAUUCCGGGUGUAGCGGUGGAAUGCGUAGAGAUCCGGAAGAACACCGGUGGCGAAGGCGGCCUGCUGGGCAGUGGCUGACGCUGAGGCGCGACAGCGUGGGGAGCAAACAGG
rnacentral:rRNA from 1 species